rnacentral:rRNA from 1 species
UACGUAGGGCGCAAGCGUUGUCCGGAAUUAUUGGGCGUAAAGAGCUCGUAGGUGGUUUGUCGCGUUGUUCGUGAAAACUCACGGCUUAACUGUGAGCGUGCGGGCGAUACGGGCAGACUGGAGUACUGCAGGGGAGACUGGAAUUCCUGGUGUAGCGGUGGAAUGCGCAGAUAUCAGGAGGAACACCGGUGGCGAAGGCGGGUCUCUGGGCAGUAACUGACGCUGAGAAGCGAAAGCGUGGGGAGCAAACAGG